AGAGCGAACGCUGGCGGCAGGCUUAACACAUGCAAGUCGAGCGCGUGUAGCAAUACACGAGCGGCAGACGGGAGAGUAACACGUGGGAACGUACCCUUCAGUUCGGAACAACCCAGGGAAACUUGGGCUAAUACCGAAUACGUCCGUAAGGAGAAAGAUUUAUCGCUGAAGGAUCGGCCCGCGUCUGAUUAGCUAGUUGGUGAGGUAACGGCCCACCAAGGCGACGAUCAGUAGCUGGUCUGAGAGGAUGAUCAGCCUCAUUGGGACUGAGACACGGCCCAAACUCCUACGGGAGGCAGCAGUGGGGAAUAUUGGACAAUGGGCGCAAGCCUGAUCCAGCCAUGCCGCGUGGAUGAUGAAGGCCUUAGGGUUGUAAAGUCCUUUCGACGGGAAGAUAAUGACGGUACCCGUAGAAGAAGCCCGGCUAACUUCGUGCCAGCAGCCGC
rnacentral:rRNA from 1 species